rnacentral:rRNA from 1 species
UACAGAGGUCCCAAGCGUUGUCCGGAUUUAUUGGGCGUAAAGAGCUCGUAGGCGGCUUGUCGCGUCGACUGUGAAAACUCGGGGCUCAACUCCGAGCUUGCAGUCGAUACGGGCAGGCUAGAGUUCGGUAGGGGAGACUGGAAUUCCUGGUGUAGCGGUGAAAUGCGCAGAUAUCAGGAGGAACACCGAUGGCGAAGGCAGGUCUCUGGGCCGAUACUGACGCUGAGGAGCGAAAGCGUGGGGAGCGAACAGG